UAAACGACUCUCGGCAACGGAUAUCUCGGCUCAUGCAUCGAUGAAGAACGUAGCAAAAUGCGAUACUUGGUGUGAAUUGCAGAAUCCCGUGAACCAUCGAGUUUUUGAACGCAAGUUGCGCCCGAAGCCUUCUGGUUGAGGGCACGUCUGCCUGGGUGUCACGC
rnacentral:rRNA from 1 species